rnacentral:rRNA from 1 species
AACGAACGCUGGCGGCAUGCCUAACACAUGCAAGUCGAACGAAGUCUUCGGACUUAGUGGCGCACGGGUGCGUAACGCGUGGGAAUCUGCCCUUGGGUACGGAAUAACUCAGAGAAAUUUGUGCUAAUACCGUAUAAUGUCUUCGGACCAAAGAUUUAUCGCCCAAGGAUGAGCCCGCGUAAGAUUAGCUAGUUGGUGGGGUAAAAGCCUACCAAGGCGACGAUCUUUAGCUGGUCUGAGAGGAUGAUCAGCCACACUGGGACUGAGACACGGCCCAGACUCCUACGGGAGGCAGCAGUGGGGAAUAUUGGACAAUGGGCGAAAGCCUGAUACAGCAAUGCCGCGUGAGUGAUGAAGGCCCUAGGGUUGUAAAGCUCUUUUACCAGGGAUGAUAAUGACAGUACCUGGAGAAUAAGCUCCGGCUAACUACGUG